rnacentral:rRNA from 1 species
CUACGGGGGGCUGCAGUGAGGAAUAUUGCGCAAUGGACGAAAGUCUGACGCGGCCAUGCCGCGUGCAGGAUGACGGCGCUAUGCGUUGUAAACUGCUUUUAUAGGCCAAGAAACCUUCGGACGUGUCCGAAGCUGACGGUAGCAUAUGAAUAAGCACCGGCUAACUCCGUGCCAGCAGCCGCGGUAAUACGGAGGGGGCAAGCGUUAUCCGGAUUUAUUGGGUUUAAAGGGUCCGUAGGCGGAUCAUUAAGUCAGUGGUGAAAGCCGGCAGCUCAACUGUCGAACUGCCAUUGAUACUGGUGAUCUUGAAUACGGUUGAAGUUGGCGGAAUAGGUCAUGUAGCGGUGAAAUGCUUAGAUAUGACCUAGAACACCGAUUGCGAAGGCAGCCAACUAAGCCGUUAUUGACGCUGAGGGACGAAAGCGUGGGGAGCGAACAGGAUUAGAUACCCGAGUAGUC